UGGGGAAUAUUGCACAAUGGGCGAAAGCCUGAUGCAGCAACGCCGCGUGAGCGAUGAAGGCCUUCGGGUCGUAAAGCCCUGUCAGGUGGUAAGAAUGUCCCGGGACUGAACAGGUUUCGGGAGUGACGGUACCACCAGAGGAAGCACCGGCUAACUCCGUGCCAGCAGCCGCGGUAAUACGGAGGGUGCAAGCGUUAUUCGGAAUUACUGGGCGUAAAGCGCGUGUAGGCGGUCCUGCAAGUCUGAUGUGAAAGCCCCGGGCUUAACCCGGGAAGUGCAUUGGAAACUGCAGGUCUUGAGUACUGGAGAGGAUGGGGGAAUUCCCGGUGUAGAGGUGAAAUUCGUUGAGAUCGGGAGGAAUAUCAGUGGCGAAGGCGCCCAUCUGGACGGUAACUGACGCUGAGACGCGAAAGCGUGGGGAGCAAACA
rnacentral:rRNA from 1 species